CUUAGCCAAGCUAGAUAUCUAGUGCUUUCAUCUCUCCCUGCUGAUCCCUGCCUACCCUUCUGGUCUUUCUUUGCCUGCCUCUGCAUUUCCCUUUAUCUGCUAGCAUCCUCCUAAAAACAUUGUGCCUCCGGAGGAGGGGGCGUCAUCGGGCUGUUUGCACAGGGACAUGCUCCCCUCCUCUUCUCCCGCGGGAACCUCUGCAGCACCCCAGCACCACGGAAGCCUCGCCAGCAGAUAUGAAUAAGCAGAGUUUAUGGCAGUUCAAGACAGCCUCAGACAUAGCCCAGACUUAACAGACUUUGUUCAUCGCUUUGCCACCUGGUAUAAAUCUGAUGCGCUAGUAUUCACCUAAGGCAAGUCAAGGAACAUGUAAGCAGAGGGAGCGAGCCACCCUUAUUAGCCUUGGUGGUUCUCCUCUGUCUUUGGGGAAGCUCAUUGAUCUUGCACUGAGAGGAAGGCUUCACAGGUAACCGUUACGCGUGAUGGGGCCCAGCUUUACUGGAGAUGGCUGAACACCUGCCUGCCGAUGAGGGCACUGAGCCGCUGCUGCAUGAUGCUUAGUUGCUGGCUGGGGUUAAACCAGAACUCCUCCUUGCUGUGCCUCUUACGGCAGGCUCUUCUGAUGUACAUCUGAUAAAGCCGCAUAGCCUGUGGUCAUUACAUGGCUUUGCUACCCUGCUCUCUCUGCUGAGUCAAGCAUGUCCUGAAGCAAGGCUGGGACUGCCACCUGGGCCAGGAUGGGACAUCCCACCAGAGAGCCAACCCCACCACGUGGGCAGCCAGGCAAGUGAGGCAGGUACCCCC